rnacentral:rRNA from 1 species
GCAUAUCAAUAAGCGGAGGAAAAGAAACUAACAAGGAUUCCCCUAGUAACUGCGAAGUGAAGCGGGAAAAGCUCAAAUUUAAAAUCUGGCAGUCUUUGGCUGUCCGAGUUGUAGUCUGGAGAAGCGUUUUCCGCGUUGGACCGUGUAUAAGUCUCUUGGAACAGAGCGUCAUAGAGGGUGAGAAUCCCGUCUUUGACACGGACUACCAAUGCUUUGUGAUGCGCUCUCAAAGAGUCGAGUUGUUUGGGAAUGCAGCUCAAAAUGGGUGGUAAAUUCCAUCUAAAGCUAAAUAUUGGCGAGAGACCGAUAGCGAACAAGUACCGUGAGGGAAAGAUGAAAAGCACUUUGGAAAGAGAGUUAAACAGUACGUGAAAUUGCUGAAAGGGAAACGCUUGAAGUCAGUCGCGUCGUUCAGAACUCAACCUGGCUUUUGCUUGGUGUAAUUUCUGCGCGACGGGCCAGCAUCAAUUUUGAUCAUUGGAAAAAGUCCAGAGGAAUGUGGCACCUUCGGGUGUGUUAUAGCCUUUGGUCGUAUACAAUGGUUGGGAUUGAGGAUCUCAGCACGCCUUUAUGGUCGGGGUUCGCCCACGUUCGUGCUUAGGAUGCUGGCGUAAUGGCUUUAAACGACCCGUCUUGAAACACGGACCAAGGAGUCUAACAUGCCUGCGAGUGUUUGGGUGGAAAACCCGAGCGCGUAAUGAAAGUGAAAGUUGGGAUCUCUGUCAUGGAGAGCACCGACGCCCGGACCAGACCUUUUGUGACGGUUCCGCGGUAGAGCAUGUAUGUUGGGACCCGAAAGAUGGUGAACUAUGCCUGAAUAGGGUGAAGCCAGAGGAAACUCUGGUGGAGGCUCGUAGCGAUUUCUGACGUGCAAAUCGAUCGUCAAAUUUGGGUAUAGGGGGCGAAAGACUAAUCGAACCCAUCUAGUAGCUGGUUCCUGCCG